rnacentral:pre_miRNA from 1 species
AUCACCUGGGGAUCUUGAUAAAGUGCAGAUUCUGAUUCAGUAGGUCUGGCAAGAGGCUGAAGAGUUUGCAUUUCUCACAAGCUCCCAGGUGAUACCAA